rnacentral:rRNA from 1 species
AGUGAACGCUGGCGGUAGGCCUAACACAUGCAAGUCGAACGGCAGCACAGUAAGAGCUUGCUCUUACGGGUGGCGAGUGGCGGACGGGUGAGGAAUACAUCGGAAUCUACUUUUUCGUGGGGGAUAACGUAGGGAAACUUACGCUAAUACCGCAUACGACCUACGGGUGAAAGCAGGGGAUCUUCGGACCUUGCGCGAUUGAAUGAGCCGAUGUCGGAUUAGCUAGUUGGCGGGGUAAAGGCCCACCAAGGCGACGAUCCGUAGCUGGUCUGAGAGGAUGAUCAGCCACACUGGAACUGACACGGUCCAGACUCCUACGGGAGGCAGCAGUGGGGAAUAUUGGACAAAGGGCGCAAGCCUGAUCCAGCCAUACCGCGUGGGUGAAGAAGGCCUUCGGGUUGUAAAGCCCUUUUGUUGGGAAAGAAAAGCAGCAGGUUAAUACCCCGCUGUUCUGACGGUACCCAAAGAAUAAGCACCGGCUAACUUCGUG